AACGAACGCUGGCAGCAGGCUUAACACAUGCAAGUCGAGCGCCCCGCAAGGGGAGCGGCAGACGGGUGAGUAACGCGUGGGAAUCUACCCAUCCCUACGGAAUAGCUUCGGGAAACUGGGAUUAAUACCGUAUACGCCCUACGGGGGACAGAUUUAUCGGGGAUGGAUGAGCCCGAGUUGGAUUAGCUAGUUGGUGGGGUAAAGGCCUACCAAGGCGACGAUCCAUAGCUGGUCUGAGAGGAUGAUCAGCCACAUUGGGACUGAGACACGGCCCAGACUCCUACGGGAGGCAGCAGUAGGGAAUUUUCCACAAUGGACGAAAGUCUGAUGGAGCAACGCCGCGUGCAGGAUGAAGGCCUUCGGGUUGUAAACUGCUUUUAUGUGCGAGGAUUAUGACAGUAACACAUGAAUAAGGGUCGGCUAACUACGUGCCAGCAGCCGCAGUAA
rnacentral:rRNA from 1 species